rnacentral:rRNA from 1 species
CUACGGGGCGCAGCAGUGGGGAAUAUUGCACAAUGGAGGAAACUCUGAUGCAGCAACGCCGCGUGGAGGAUGACACUUUUCGGAGCGUAAACUCCUUUUAUAUAGGAAGAAGAUGACGGUACUAUAUGAAUAAGCGCCGGAUAACUCCGUGCCAGCAGCCGCGGUAAUACGGAGGGCGCAAGCGUUACUCGGAAUCACUGGGCGUAAAGAGCGUGUAGGCGGAUUAAAAAGUCAGAAGUGAAAUCCUAUAGCUUAACUAUAGAACUGCUUCUGAAACUCUUAAUCUAGAAUAUGGGAGAGGUAGAUGGAAUUUCUGGUGUAGGGGUAAAAUCCGUAGAGAUCAGAAGGAAUACCGAUUGCGAAGGCGAUCUACUAGAACAUUAUUGACGCUGAGACGCGAAAGCGUGGGGAGCAAACAGGAUUAGAUACCCCGGUAGUC